UUGCGAAACCGGUGAAGUCACAAAGCGGCAGCCUGGUCCCGCGGAGCUAGAGCGCGCAGCCACCUCCCCGCCCACGCCACGCCACGCGGGACCGCUCGGCUUCCUUUCGCUUUUGCUUGAUACAGCGACGGGGUCAUCCCUGCUGCCUGGCUACUAAGGAGGCUGAAGCAGGAGGAUCACAAGUUCAAGGUCUGAAUUCGCAGCUUAGUGAGCCGCCCUCUAAAGAGCUGGAAAUUUAGCCCAAUGGUAGAGCACUUGCCUAGAAUGGACAAAGGAUCUAAUUCAGGAUCUAUUUAGACUUGCCAACAAAAGCAUGUCUUGGGUUUCAGGAAAUUAGAUCAUAUCGGUCACAAUGGAAGACGGAAGGGUUGAACUGCUAUGCUAUGCAAAAGCCUGCAGCCAACUUUAGGGCUUCAAGUAUUGCAGUGGGUCUAUAGGCAGGCCAGUGGUCCCAGCACUCAGGAAGCUGAGGCAAGAGGCUCCAUCAUUCAAGACCUGCCUGGGCCACAUAAUGAAUUCCUGUCUCAGAAAAUUAAUAAGCCAUGGCAGGGUCAUGAAAAUUGAGGGAAGACUGAAGAAACUAACUCCGGCAGAAGGGGAGUAAGGAACCUUGAUCUUGUGCUGAGUAGUAUUGGUCAUCACAAGGAACUUGAACCAGCUAGGAGACAAGACACUUGGGCAGAUGUAUAAAAGCCUCUCCAAAUGGAAUUAGCUAAGGUGAUGAUAAAUUUGCAAUUAUUAUUAUUUUGGCCACAGGCCUGGGAAUAGGGAAAGCUUGAGACUUUGGGGAACAACUGUAAUUCCUGGUUCUCUGUGGGAUGUGGUUAUUCUUUUGUAUUUGAUUUGGCAAUGAUUAUACAAUGUCCUUUUCUUUUUCUACCUGCAUUUGGAGAGACAAUAAAAGACUGGGGCAAGAGAAAGGCGAGUGGAGAGAGUGAGGUGCGCAUGAGGCCUGCAUGAGGUAUCCCUGCUUCCAGUUGAGAGCUCUGAUCCUGUUUCGAGGCUGGACCCUGACAGUGAUGCCUCAAACAAAGACAAACUUUACACAGUGCACAUGAGAUCACCCCAACACUGGGCCUUUGAGCCCAUGUUUUCACAGGCUCACUCAGUUUCCUGGUCGACUACUGUAUGAGUGUCAGCUUACCUUCCCACAAGUCCUGACUGAGCCACCCCACCCUGCCUUCCCUGCCAAGACGCCUUUCCCAAGAACCAGGAGCCUAAAACAUCUUUGCUCACUCAGGGAGCUUCUGUCUGGUAUUUAGGCACAACAUGAACAGAGUAACUAAUGCAUGACAAAGUCUGGUGUAUGGGAGGACAUUCUCAUCAGGACGGCAACCAGAUCCCAGGGGUCAGAAUUUAGCAUCUGAGUACAUAGCAUCACCUGGCCAAACCCCAGAAGUCUGAAGCCAACCUAAACUGGAUUAUAAAACCCUGUCUCAAAAAGAAAAGGGGGGGGGGAGGAGGUGGAAGAGGAGAACGAGAAGAGGAAGAGGAGGAAGGGAAGGGAAGAAGGUAGAGGAAAGAAUGAAGGAAGGAAGGAAUGAAAGAGAAACUAAUCUAAGAAGAAAUGGAGGAAGAAAAUGUCAAUUACAUCUACAGUUUUAUAUAUCUAUACAGUUGAUUUUGAAAAAAAAUCAAAAUGGUCUUUUGCAAGCAGAGCCAAUACCGUUCUUCAUGGAGUCCUUUGAAGGCUCAUUCACGGCUGUGAUCCCAUAUGUGGAGCUAUGCUGGAUGCAGGUGUUUCUUGACCAUUUACCUCAGAAAUAGCCUUCUUCAGGAACUCUUCCCUACCAACCCAGAUGUUUGACCUUUGAGCCACUUCUUUGCAUCCCAGGGCUACUUUAUUUCUACUUCAUAUUCCCCGGCGUUGACAUGUUACCCUAACAACUGGGUUCAAAAGACUUUGAGAGUCGGAAUUGAAUUUGCUAAAUUUCUGUCUCCAGUGCCAAUGACUGACCCACAUUGAUUGAUUAAUAAAUGUUUGUU
rnacentral:lncRNA from 1 species